GCAGAAUACGGAAGUAGCUGUGUGGACAUUUUGUAUUAGCAGUGAGGAAAUUCGGAAACACAAAAAGCAAAUGCAAGGUCUGCAAUGAAAAUCGACCGAUACCCGGGGGUCGGGCUAGUGGUUUUCUGCAAGAGGGUCGCCCCGUUGGCCAGUAAAAAAAGAUAAUAUUAUUUAUACACGUGCAAUACAUGCAAAGCACACCUGAGUUCAGAUACUGAAAGUGAACAUCAGUGGAACUUUGAUGAUCUAGGCCGCUCUAUUUUUGCAGCAACACCAGCAGGCGUCGGACAUUCAUAAAGUUGAAAGAACAAACCUAUGACUUGAACACACAAUUUGUGAUCUGAAUAUAGUUCACAAAUUUAAGGAAAGCAACUAUCAAAGACAUCCAGAUUGAUGGUAUACAUGAAGUAUGAAUGAAA